rnacentral:lncRNA from 1 species
GACGAUUAUUGGCAAACACCUUACAUUGGAGAAUUUUUCCUGUAGGAAAGAGCUGAUAGAGGGAAAUGUAGAUCUGGUAGCUGAUACCAAUGAAAGAAGAGGACACAAAGCUGAAGGAAAUUGCCCUGCCAUGGCAAGAGGAUGGACAGCAUAACCAGAGGAGAACUGAUCCAGGAUAAAAGUGGAGGAAACUUGCUUUUGUAAAAUACCUACCUACAUGUGACAAUUUUAUAGGAUGAUGUCAAGAUUUGAAAUAAUUUUCUUAGUACCAGCAGUAAAGCUGCUGGAGAAUUUCCACACAGAAGCUACCAGUGCUUCUGAUGGGUUUCUGCUUCUCAGAAUUUGCAGGAGACAGAAAACAGAAAUCAAGGAUCUCUCUCUCCCUCCCUUCACUGAAACCAACAACCAAAACCCUACAGCAUUUAUAGGCUCUGAAUCUGAUUGAUCUUCUGAACUGGGGGAAGUAUAUCAUUUCUAAAGGUAUUUAUUUAGUUGCCUUGUACCUGGGGACAUCCCUUGUUGAUGAAGACCUUCAGAAAAACCUGUUUUAGCUUUAAUUUUUCAUUACAGAGAGACGUGAUCCACUUUUUGGCUAUUUCAUUCUAAAGGACACCAGCUGAGCACCCAGCCCAGAAUGUCUGACAAGUCAGUUCAGUGCAACUGGUACCAGUCUGGAGAAAGCAGGGUGGGUCCUGAAGCUUCUGGAAAUACUGGAAGUAACAGACAGUUGGAUGGGUAUGACAGCAACCACCCAGCCUCCAGCUGGCCCUGAGCACAGUCACAGCUUCCAGGUACCUGUUUGCAAAAUGUCGUGCAGAGAUGCCAUCAGCUACCUGAGCUCCCACGUAGCAGGUACAGCCUUCAGUGUGGUGAUAUUAGGGGAAGAGCUGAACCAGCAUCUUGCUUUAUUUGGCUUCAUUUCAGGAAUACAGAGAACUGCAAAGUGGGCAUGCCUGGGAGGCAACAGAAGUGACUGAGGUUCAAGGUCGAAACUAAAGCACGGACAUGAGCUUCCUCACCAGACAGCAGCCGUAGAGUCAGCAGUUUAUGGGCAGGCUGAACCACAUGGAGCAGUGCAAAAUGUCUGCAGUUAUGACUGCUCUUAUGAUACCAUCAGGUGCUUCCCAGACACUAAAAGACAUCUGGGCUUUGCUGUUUGGAGCUCACAGGCUAAAACAGACAAAGAAAGAAGACAACAUUGAGAGCUGGUAGCAAGACAUAUUCCCAACUAACCACCCAAAUCUGCUGAAGACACCAGGAAUAUUCAUGCUGUUUGUGUUCCUGAUGGUCCUCAUAUGCAGUUUUUACCUUAAACUCUGCUAUUUCGAAAUACUAUGUUUCUGGGUGAUUCCCCUCACUGAGCAGUGCCGGCUGAACAUUUGUUUCUCUGUCUAUAUUCAAAUCCAGCAGAAUAAAGUAUAAUUGCUG